ACACCGGCAGCUCAAGUGGUAGCCGCUUUUAUUGGGCCUAAAGCGUCCGUAGCCGGUCUGAUAAGUCUCUGGUGAAAUCCCACAGCUUAACUGUGGGAAUUGCUGGAGAUACUAUCAUGACUCGAGGUCGGGAGAGGCUGGAGGUACUCCCAGGGUAGGGGUGAAAUCCUGUAAUCCUGGGAGGACCACCUGUGGCGAAGGCGUCCAGCUGGAACAAACCUGGCGGUGAGGGACGAAAGCCAGGGGCGCGAACCGGAUUAGAUACCCGGGUAGGCCUGGCCGUAAACGAUGUGGACUUGGUGUUGGGAUGGCUUCGAGCUGCCCCAGUGCCGAAGGGAAGCUGUUAAGUCCACCGCCUGGGAAGUACGGCCGCAAGGCUGAAACUUAAAGGAAUUGACGGGG
rnacentral:rRNA from 1 species